CCUACGGGAGGCAGCAGUGGGGAAUCUUGCACAAUGGGGGAAACCCUGAUGCAGCGACGCCGCGUGAAUGAAGAAGUAUUUCGGUAUGUAAACUUCUAUCAGCAGGGAAGACAAUGACGGUACCUGACUAAGCAGCCACGGCCAACUACGUGCCAGCAGCCGCGGUCAUACGUAGGGGGCAAGCGUUAUCCGGAUUUACUGUGUGUAAAGGGAGCGUAGGCGGUGCAGCAAGUCAGAAGUGAAAGCCCGGGGCUCAACUCCUGGACUGCAUUUGAAACUGUUGAACUAGAUUGCAGGAGAGGUAAGUGGAAUUCCUAGUGUAGCGGUGAAAUGCGUAGAUAUUAGGAGGAACACCAGUGGCGAAGGCGGCUUACUGGACUGUAAAUGACGCUGAGGCUCGAAAGCGUGGGGAGCAAACAGGAUUAGAUACCCUAGUAGUC
rnacentral:rRNA from 1 species